rnacentral:rRNA from 1 species
GACGAACGCUGGCGGCGUGCUUAACACAUGCAAGUCGAGCGGUAAGGCCCUUUCGGGGGUACACGAGCGGCGAACGGGUGAGUAACACGUGGGUGACCUGCCCUCAGCUCUGGGAUAAGCCUGGGAAACCGGGUCUAAUACUGGAUAUGACUCCAUGACGCAUGUUGUGGGGUGGAAAGCCUUGUGCGGCUGAGGAUGGGCCCGCGGCCUAUCAGCUUGUUGGUGGGGUGANGGCCUACCAAGGCGACGACGGGUAGCCGGCCUGAGAGGGCGACCGGCCACACUGGGACUGAGACACGGCCCAGACUCCUACGGGAGGCAGCAGUGGGGAAUCUUGCGCAAUGGGCGAAAGCCUGACGCAGCGACGCCGCGUGAGGGAUGACGGCCUGGUUCGUAAC